rnacentral:rRNA from 1 species
AUUGAACGCUAGCGGGAUGCUUUACACAUGCAAGUCGAACGAGUGGGGGACGGGAGAGUAAUAUAUCGGAACGUGCGCAGUAGCGGGGGAUAGCUACUCGACAGAGUGGCUACUACCGCAUAAUAUUGGAGCGGCCGCUAUCGGAAUAGCUAGUUGGUGGGGUAAAGGCUCACCAAGGCAACGAUCCGUAGCUGGUGUAAGAGGACUACCAGCCAAACUGGGACUGAGACACGGUCCAGACUCCUACGGUAGGCAGCAGUGGGGAAUUUUGGACAAUGGGUGAAACCCUGAUCCAGCCAUCCCGCGUGUAUGAGAAGGCCUUCGGGUUGUAAAGUACUUUUGGCAGAGAAGCGGUAUCUGCAGAAUAAGCACCGGCUAACUACGUGCCAGCAGCCGCGGUAAUAC